rnacentral:rRNA from 1 species
GACAGAGGGUGCAAACGUUGUUCGGAAUUACUGGGCGUAAAGCGCGUGUAGGCUGCUCGGAAAGUCGGGUGUGAAAGCCCUGGGCUCAACCUAGGAAGUGCACUCGAAACUUCCGAGCUGGAGUGCUGGAGAGGAAGGCGGAAUUCUCGGUGUAGAGGUGAAAUUCGUAGAUAUCGAGAGGAACGUCGGUGGCGAAGGCGGCCUUCUGGACAGCGACUGACGCUGAGACGCGAAAGCGGGGGGACGAACCAGG